rnacentral:snoRNA from 1 species
GACCUCCUUGUGUUUACCACAGGCUGUGUCUAGAAAGAGGAGGCAAAGGAAACCUACCCCAUAUAUGCCUCAACUCUGCCCUGUACCUGGUCUGUAUUGUGAAUGGGGACACAUGG